GAGAGGGAAGGGAGGAGGGAUGGGGGAGGGGAAAAGGGAGCGAGGUGUCUCCCUAGCUCGCAGCCUGUGGCGAGUGGAGUUUUUAAAAAGCUCGGGCAGAUCAUGUCAUGACGACUUCGCUGCUCCUGCAUCCGCGCUGGCCGGAGAGCCUUAUGUACGUCUAUGAGGACAGCGCGGCGGAGAGCGGCGGGGGAGGCGGCGGCGCGGGCGGAGCGGGGGGUGGCUGCAGCGGAGCGAGCCCCGGCAAAGCCCCGAGCAUGGACGGGCUGGGCAGCAGCUGCCCGGCCAGCCACUGCCGCGACCUGCUUCCGCACCCCGUGCUGGGCCGCCCGCCGGCUCCCCUGGGCGCCCCGCAGGGCGCCGUCUACACGGACAUCCCGGCCCCGGAGGCGGCGCGCCAGUGCGCCCCGCCGCCGGCGCCCCCCACCUCGUCCAGCGCCACCCUGGGCUACGGCUACCCGUUCGGUGGCAGCUACUACGGCUGCCGCCUGUCGCACAACGUGAACCUGCAGCAAAAGCCUUGCGCCUACCACCCGGGCGAUAAGUACCCCGAGCCGUCGGGCGCCCUGCCCGGCGACGACCUGUCCUCCAGGGCCAAGGAGUUCGCCUUCUAUCCCAGCUUCGCCAGCUCUUACCAGGCGAUGCCCGGCUACCUGGACGUGUCUGUGGUGCCUGGGAUCAGCGGGCACCCGGAGCCGCGUCACGACGCGCUUAUCCCGGUAGAAGGCUACCAGCACUGGGCUCUCUCCAGCGGCUGGGACAGUCAGGUGUACUGCUCCAAGGAGCAGUCGCAGUCCGCCCACCUCUGGAAGUCUCCCUUUCCAGGUAAGGAAGGGGCCCGAGCGCCGCCGCCGCCGCCGCCGCCGCCGCCAGGGACCCCUCCCCGCCCCGCCUGCCCCGGGGCUCCGCGCCCCAGCCACCCCCGCCGUCUGGCCCCGGCGCGCCGGCUCUGCUGGGUUGCAGAUGGAGCCGGCCGGGCGAGCUGCGCUGAGGAAUGCGCCGGGGAAGAAAUCUGCUCCGACACGUUCCCCGGAGCUGCCCGGCCGAGAGUGAAGCAAUCACAGGCGCCCGAGCGCCGGGCCGCCGGCUCCGCUCCAGUCGGGAGCUCACCUCCUCCCCCAACGGGUUCCAGUCUCACGCGCGGCUCUUGGCCGCCUAAGCCCGCUUCCGGCCAGGAAUGGGGGUGGGGUGGGCCUUGGGUGCCUUGGAAUCCAGAACCACUAGGACAAAACGCUCAACUCAUUGAAUAAUUUUGGGAAAAAAAUAAGAAUCCCAAACGUCAUCUUUGCCUAAAUUUCCAAGAUCAUUCAGGCACUGGACAGAUUAAAAAAAAAAAAACUUGGCCUAUUCCUACAUAGGCAGAGAAAAGCGACAAGUCCAACAAUUUUCCUGAGAAAUUGUCAUCAUGAAGACAGCCCAACCAGGCCAUUGGAACCCCCUCUCUCCCAUAUUCUUUCCGUGCACUUUAUUUCCCCCUGCAUUUGAUGGUGACCUCUUCUCUCCCCAUCCUGUGUAGACAAGGGUCCCUGAGAGAAAGCAGACCCAAUGAGAACGGGUAUAAGGAAGGUGUUUCAUGAAGUGGGAUGGGGGUGGGGGGUUAGAAUAAGCAUUUCAGGAAGAGCUUUGUGUCCUCAUUUUACACUGUGUCUACACUCCCAAAGGGCAGUAAGCAUGAAGGGGAAACCUCAGAUCUUCAGUCCUCAUUAGAUCCUGCAUGAAGAUUUCUGUCAAUUACGUUUUUAAAAAUUGAGGGAUGAGUUAUUCAGAUAAUCUCCCUAGUUCCCCACUUCCCCUUGAAAGUGUUGCUAUGACCUUUUUAUUGACAGGUGAGGGUGGAGUGGAAGUGACACAUAUUGCCUUUAGUUCCUGUUACAUUCUCAGAGCAUAAAGAAAUUGAACUAGUAGUAGGAUGACAAGGUAUUUAGAAUUUAGGAUCAGGGUUCCUGUAUGGGGUAGAGACAGUUUCCUUCAGCUUUGGAGGAAUGACAAGGAUAGGGAAUUGGGGUAUAAUUUGCUCUGUUUUGGUGAGUGGACAUUGUAAGGGCAAGGGAAGGACGCUGAUUUCUUUUUAUAGGAGACUUAUGUGAACUUAUAGAGCUCUCCUGGUGUCUCCUCUGGUGGGCACACCCUGGGGUGUGGACUCUCUACUUCUAGGAACCUGAUUCCCCACAUCUCAGUGCUAGGGACUUCCCACUUUGGAUGUUACUAAAUGGCUCACAACAUUGGCCUCCUAGAGAUUGGCUCCCAGGCAGUCUGGCUUCACCUAAACAAUUUUCUUCUCACUAGCUGUUGGUGCUGGCCUCAGAUUCCUAGUGCAGAGCCAGUGACCAAAGGCAAGAGGCCCCACUUGGUGGGCGGUGCCCACUGAAACUGUCUCCCUUCCUGCCAUGCCCUCCCUCAAACAUACAAAAGAAUCCCUCCUUUUUUUUUUUUUGGGUGGGAUCUUCCUGGAGCAGGGAUCGAACCUGUGUCCCCUGCAUUGGCAGGCGGAUGCGUAACCACUGCGCCACCUAGGAAGCCCCCUUCCCUCCUUUUAUAAUGGGGCAGAGUAUAAACUGGCCGAUGCCCAAAUGAUUCUGAAUACCUGCAAUCCUGCAGGCUAGUAGACUAGGGUGGAAUUUGGAGGGACCUCUCUAAGGGAACAGGGAUUCUAAUAAGGAGUGCUGUGCAGAGCCAUAUUGAAGCCUGAGGCAAAAGGAGAAAUCAGUAAUACUGGUCCCAUAGUUAUUAAAAUUUUGAUAUUUUGUUCGUCAUGGAUUUUUUGGCUUUCAUUUAUACGUUUUAAAAUAUUGCAUUAAAAUAUUAUUUAUCUUGGUUUUUGAAUUUUGGGCGCCCCCUCCUUUAAAGUUUGCACCAGAGACAAUAUCCCAGUGUCCUCACCUAAGUCGUGGCCUUGCUAAUAACAGAGGUGCAAAAGAUUUGUGGACAAUCCGCCCGCUCCCUUUGAGUCCCUGCGUGGGAACCUUGCGCCUCCGCAGCCGGGCAGCCUCGAGGCCCGGUCCUGGGUCCAACCGCGCGACUCACUUCCUGCCGUCCGCCUUCUC